AUGAUUACGAAUGGUGCCUUCUGUGCUGGCCGGAACACUGGCAAGUGCACGUUGGUGCUUUCAUCCAAUCUCCUGUGAACCUUUGGCCUCUUGCUCGCCUCGGCUGGCAGAGGAAUUUUACACAAACUCGAAUGUAAUGAGAUAUAUUGUCGUGCGCAAGCACUAAUGUA
rnacentral:misc_RNA from 1 species